GUUUGGGAAACAAGACGUCCUUUCUUAACAAAAGACUCAAUCUACAAAGGCCACAAAACAAAAAUUGAUUAAAGUUGAACCGUAGUAUGAAAGUUUACUUUGGUGUAUCAAAUAGCCCGGUAAGCUCUACGUAGCAGCUCAUCUGUAACGGGGGCCAUGGGGCGUCACUGGGCGCAACUGGGACUGCAUGGACAGCUGAACUCCAUGAUUUUGACUAGAGGUGACAGCUGAAAAGCACCAGAAACCCUUGGAAUUUCAGAUCUAUAUAUUACUAUAAAGGAAGAAAAUAAAGUUCCGCUAGUAGAAGUUUGGCAUGUACUUACCAACAGCAUGGCGGGAUGUCUGCAGUGAAAUGUUCCCAGCCCUGUGACCUCCUGCUGCAGGAAAAGAUCAAUAUUAUAAAGAGGUCGAGUGACUCCGUGAAUUAGUCUCCUGCGUUUUCACUCCUGGAAGCUGCGGAUCUAAUCCUGUUUGGAGGUUGGCUUUCUGUCUGCUCCUUGCAGAAGAAAAGAGGGAAACACAGCCUCCCAUUGUCCGUGCUGCCCGCAGCGGUGCCAGGCGGCCCUUCGCGUGCAGCUGCCUCUGUAAUGCCGAGAGGAUUUCCCCCCCUCUGCCUCUGAUUACUGUGACCACAGUAAAACGUCUAGACAAAACGGAUGAAAUCAUCACCUUUUGAAAGAUCUAAUUACAUCAUAUGCUUUAAAUUCCCAAAUUCAUCUCGCCGGCGGAGUCGCCUUUCAUAUCUCCCCGUUCUGGGGCGAAACAGCAGUGAGCACAUGGUGGGGAGGAGAGCUCCUCGACGAUGGGCAGGUAGGUGCUUAGCCAUUCACCAGCCAUCAGCCCUGCCCACGCUUGUCCUACCCCACCAGACUCUCCCUGCCGAGUGCAGAGGUGACGAUGUGGGGCCAUCGAUUAGGGUGACCUCUCCUCAUCUCCUCUUCCCUCCUCAAACACUUAGCAGAGCACUGAGGGAGUCGAGCAGGAGGGCUCGGACCUCCUCUGCCUGCCCUGGGCUCACAGAGGGCCAAGUCGUUCUGAUGUGGAUGUCUACUUUACAGGUCUGAAUAUUCAGCUGCCAUAGAAAUGCUCUUUAGCUGACCCUAAAUUUGUACCAUAGCGGUCCUUGGUGGCUAGACAGUUAAUGCCAGAGGUGUGGUCCCUCGGGCUGACUUUUAUUUAUGUUUCAGACCGACUUCUUUUCUUUAAAGUGUGCACUUGUAAAAUCCAUUUUCCUUUUCCACUCCUCCUGAUUGUGCUAUAAUUUUUAUUCUUGCUUCAUCAGCAGCCCUGAGAUUUACAAUUAAGUGCAAAAAAAAAAAAAAA